GCGAUGGCUGUCGUCAGCUCGUGUCGUGAGAUGUUCGGUUAAGUCCGCUAACGAGCGCAACCUCGUCGUAUGUUAUAUGUGUCAUACGAGACUGCCGGUAAAAAGCCGGAGGAAGGUGAGGAUGAUGUCAAGUCAGCAUGACCUUUAUAUCCAGGGCUACACACACGCUACAAUGGUCUGUACAAUGGGUAGCCAAGCCGCGAGGCGGAGCCAAUCCUGAAAGCAGGCCUCAGUUCAGACUGCAGUCUGCAACUCGACUGCAUGAAGCCGGAGUUGCUAGUAACCGCAGGUCAGCAAUACUGCGGUGAAUACGUUCCCGGGUCUU
rnacentral:rRNA from 1 species